AUUCAGCUGGCGAGCCCCAAAUAGGACGAAACGCGCGUCAAGCUGGAU
rnacentral:hammerhead_ribozyme from 1 species